GAAGCGUGAAGGUACGGCACGGUGAAAACGUGUCGGUAAUGACCAACAAAGGACAGGAACACGAUAAUCGUGCAUUAGGAAACCAAAGUUCAGUGCAGAAACAGCUGGAGUCUUUGUGGAAGAAAAAAGAUACAGAGGUGGUUGUUUCAGUGUUUCCCACACAAAGCAAAGGAAACUGCAUCAUUAUUCACCACAGUGAGCUGCGGACAUUCAGGCCACACCAGUGGCUAACUGGUCAGGUAAUUGAAGGGCUUUUUCACAUCAUGGCCAAUCAGAGUGAGAUUUGCAGAAGCCUUUACAUCAUGAACCACUGCACUGCUGGAGUGAUGCUUUUCACAAAACAAUCACAGGCUGCAAGACAAACGUUGCCAAAGGUAAUUUGAAAUUGACUUUUUAAUUGUGCAGUUAUUUUAUCAAGCAUAUAGGUCAAAAUCUAAUAUCAAUACUUAAUUAGGUUUGACAUGUUCACUAAUAUUUUUUUACCAGGUUACAAAGAUUAUCUUAAUUAGUUUUAUUAUAAUUCAUUAAAUGCCUCGAAUUGUGUAGAUGUUGUCACUACACUUGUAUUAUAUUAAGGUCCAAAAGAUGAACAUUAAAAAGUAUUUCCUCAUGAGGAGGUAUUCCUAUCCAUCAAAAUAACAACAGUCCUGUAGAAUUCAAGCUUUUACAAAGUGGUGUGUUUAGAAAAUUA